rnacentral:rRNA from 1 species
UCCUGGCUCAGAACGAACGCUGGCGGCAGGCCUAACACAUGCAAGUCGAGCGCCCCGCAAGGGGAGCGGCGGACGGGUGAGUAACGCGUGGGAACGUACCCUUUGCUACGGAAUAGCCUCGGGAAACUGGGAGUAAUACCGUAUGUGCCCUUCGGGGGAAAGAUUUAUCGGCAAAGGAUCGGCCCGCGUUGGAUUAGGUAGUUGGUGGGGUAAUGGCCUACCAAGCCGACGAUCCAUAGCUGGUUUGAGAGGAUGAUCAGCCACACUGGGACUGAGACACGGCCCAGACUCCUACGGGAGGCAGCAGUGGGGAAUCUUAGACAAUGGGCGCAAGCCUGAUCUAGCCAUGCCGCGUGAGCGAUGAAGGCCUUAGGGUUGUAAAGCUCUUUCAGUGGGGAAGAUAAUGACUGUACCCACAGAAGGAGCCCCGGCUAACUCCGUG